AUUGUUUUUUAAACAGACAAAAAAGGAAAGGAGGACAAACAAUUUGAAACGGAGGAAGUGCUAUAUUUGUUAAAAUUCCUCUCCACAAUAUCUCACUAACCUAUGCAAUGAGGUUUUUAAGUAUUAAGUGUUCUAUGAGCAAUCACUUAAAAGCAUAGACAUUGUCAGAAACACAAUUCAAGCACCAAUGCAGCUCUGAUGAGAAAUAAUGCAAGUUGUCACUUGGAUAUAAAAGGUUUACUUAUUAAUG
rnacentral:lncRNA from 1 species